rnacentral:lncRNA from 1 species
ACAAUAUUAUGAUUCUUGUAGAAAAUAUUGAAUUACUGUCAUUUGCAUAUAUUUGAUAAACCAGUUGAAGUUCAUGUAAUAAUUUACCAGUUCAUAGUAAUAAUCCACUGAAUAAUCCAACUGUAUGUCUUGUAUUUUUUGUGAUAAUCCAAUUGUAGAAAUCGUAGUAAAUCGUAGUAAAUUCCACGCACCUGUGCUUGAAUUUUAUGAAUGAAAUGUAUUGACAUGCGCAGUAGAAUCCAUGUGUCACUUGGGACGAUUGUUCAAUAAAAACACUAUUUUUACGUGUUGGCAACUGUUUUCACAUACUUCUUGUAAUUCCUUUUAGUAUUUGUAGUCAACGUCUUCAAUGUUUUGUAGAUGUUAAUGCUCACUAUCCUUGAUAUUUAUCAUUUUGGUCCGCCGGUGACACACAUAACUUUUCGCAAUGUUGUUUACGUAUUGUGACUUCCGGUGGCGCUGUAUAUAUUGUUGUAUUUUUAGUUACUAUAGAAAUUUUGUUUAGUACCAUGCAAACUUUGUUUAUUAUAUAAAGGUUACUAAAAUUGUAUAUUAUUGUGAUUUUUGUAAUUUAUUUAAGAAUUCAAAUAUUUGGUUGGACGGCAAGCGCGCGAUCCAACAAUCCAACCAUCCAACCAUCCAACCAUCCAACAAUCCAACAAUCCAACAUUGACGUAAUUUCGACGCUUGGUCGUCAGUUCUGCUUAAACUUUUGGUUCUUACAGUUGGUAUUUUUAUUUGCUCGUUAUUUUAUUUUAGUCAAAAUGGUUAAUUUUUCUUAGAAACUUCAUUUAUUUAAAGGUUAAAUUGUAAAGGAAAAUAGUAAAGUUAGCGUUUUCAAAGUUUAAAAGGAAUAUUUCAUUUUAGCGGACUCUUUAAAGCUUU